CAAAACCACAGGUCCUGUGCUCCGAUGCCCUCUUCAAUCACACAGGGACUCCUGAGGGAACCAGGAUUUUCACACCGCGGCCAGCCGGCUCUCCUGGCAACAGCUUAUCUUCCUGUGCGACACAGCAGCAUGGCCAUGGGGAAGUGCGCUCUGCUCAGCAGGUCAGUAACAGAAGGAUAAUAGCAACUCCCGACCUCGCGUUGAAUGUGCAGAGACGUAUGACACUUGGGUGUCACCUGCUUUGCAUGGGCCCCAGGUUUGAUUCAGAAAAUAGUUCCGACAAACCAUUAUUGAUGAAGAGAAGCCCAGGGUUAUGGGAACAAAAGCCCAGUUCCUGGUAUUAGCACCCAGCCGGCAAGAGA